rnacentral:rRNA from 1 species
UGUGAGCUCGAUGAGUAGGGCGGGACACGUGGUAUCCUGUCUGAAUAUGGGGGGACCAUCCUCCAAGGCUAAAUACUCCUGACUGACCGAUAGUGAACCAGUACCGUGAGGGAAAGGCGAAAAGAACCCCGGCGAGGGGAGUGAAAAAGAACCUGAAACCGUGUACGUACAAGCAGUGGGAGCCUCUUUAUGGGGUGACUGCGUACCUUUUGUAUAAUGGGUCAGCGACUUAUAUUCUGUAGCAAGGUUAACCGAAUAGGGGAGCCGAAGGGAAACCGAGUCUUAACUGGGCGUUAAGUUGCAGGGUAUAGACCCGAAACCCGGUGAUCUAGCCAUGGGCAGGUUGAAGGUUGGGUAACACUAACUGGAGGACCGAACCGACUAAUGUUGAAAAAUUAGCGGAUGACUUGUGGCUGGGGGUGAAAGGCCAAUCAAACCGGGAGAUAGCUGGUUCUCCCCGAAAGCUAUUUAGGUAGCGCCUCGUGAAUUCAUCUCCGGGGGUAGAGCACUGUUUCGGCAAGGGGGUCAUCCCGACUUACCAACCCGAUGCAAACUGCGAAUACCGGAGAAUGUUAUCACGGGAGACACACGGCGGGUGCUAACGUCCGUCGUGAAGAGGGAAACAACCCAGACCGCCAGCUAAGGUCCCAAAGUCAUGGUUAAGUGGGAAACGAUGUGGGAAGGCCCAGACAGCCAGGAUGUUGGCUUAGAAGCAGCCAUCAUUUAAAGAAAGCGUAAUAGCUCACUGGUCGAGUCGGCCUGCGCGGAAGAUGUAACGGGGCUAAACCAUGCACCGAAGCUGCGGCAGCGACGCUUAUGCGUUGUUGGGUAGGGGAGCGUUCUGUAAGCCUGCGAAGGUGUGCUGUGAGGCAUGCUGGAGGUAUCAGAAGUGCGAAUGCUGACAUAAGUAACGAUAAAGCGGGUGAAAAGCCCGCUCGCCGGAAGACCAAGGGUUCCUGUCCAACGUUAAUCGGGGCAGGGUGAGUCGACCCCUAAGGCGAGGCCGAAAGGCGUAGUCGAUGGGAAACAGGUUAAUAUUCCUGUACUUGGUGUUACUGCGAAGGGGGGACGGAGAAGGCUAUGUUGGCCGGGCGACGGUUGUCCCGGUUUAAGCGUGUAGGCUGGUUUUCCAGGCAAAUCCGGAAAACCAAGGCUGAGGCGUGAUGACGAGGCACUACGGUGCUGAAGCAACAAAUGCCCUGCUUCCAGGAAAAGCCUCUAAGCAUCAGGUAACAUCAAAUCGUACCCCAAACCGACACAGGUGGUCAGGUAGAGAAUACCAAGGCGCUUGAGAGAACUCGGGUGAAGGAACUAGGCAAAAUGGUGCCGUAACUUCGGGAGAAGGCACGCUGAUACGUAGGUGAAGUCCCUCGCGGAUGGAGCUGAAAUCAGUCGAAGAUACCAGCUGGCUGCAACUGUUUAUUAAAAACACAGCACUGUGCAAACACGAAAGUGGACGUAUACGGUGUGACGCCUGCCCGGUGCCGGAAGGUUAAUUGAUGGGGUCAGCGCAAGCGAAGCUCUUGAUCGAAGCCCCGGUAAACGGCGGCCGUAACUAUAACGGUCCUAAGGUAGCGAAAUUCCUUGUCGGGUAAGUUCCGACCUGCACGAAUGGCGUAAUGAUGGCCAGGCUGUCUCCACCCGAGACUCAGUGAAAUUGAACUCGCUGUGAAGAUGCAGUGUACCCGCGGCAAGACGGAAAGACCCCGUGAACCUUUACUAUAGCUUGACACUGAACAUUGAGCCUUGAUGUGUAGGAUAGGUGGGAGGCUUUGAAGUGUGGACGCCAGUCUGCAUGGAGCCGACCUUGAAAUACCACCCUUUAAUGUUUGAUGUUCUAACGUGGACCCGUAAUCCGGGUUGCGGACAGUGUCUGGUGGGUAGUUUGACUGGGGCGGUCUCCUCCUAAAGAGUAACGGAGGAGCACGAAGGUUGGCUAAUCCUGGUCGGACAUCAGGAGGUUAGUGCAAUGGCAUAAGCCAGCUUGACUGCGAGCGUGACGGCGCGAGCAGGUGCGAAAGCAGGUCAUAGUGAUCCGGUGGUUCUGAAUGGAAGGGCCAUCGCUCAACGGAUAAAAGGUACUCCGGGGAUAACAGGCUGAUACCGCCCAAGAGUUCAUAUCGACGGCGGUGUUUGGCACCUCGAUGUCGGCUCAUCACAUCCUGGGGCUGAAGUAGGUCCCAAGGGUAUGGCUGUUCGCCAUUUAAAGUGGUACGCGAGCUGGGUUUAGAACGUCGUGAGACAGUUCGGUCCCUAUCUGCCGUGGGCGCUGGAGAACUGAGGGGGGCUGCUCCUAGUACGAGAGGACCGGAGUGGACGCAUCACUGGUGUUCGGGUUGUCAUGCCAAUGGCACUGCCCGGUAGCUAAAUGCGGAAGAGAUAAGUGCUGAAAGCAUCUAAGCACGAAACUUGCCCCGAGAUGAGUUCUCCCUGACUCCUUGAGAGUCCUGAAGGAACGUUGAAGACGACGACGUUGAUAGGCCGGGUGUGUAAGCGCAGCGAUGCGUUGAGCUAACCGGUACUAAUGAACCGUGAGGCUUAACCUUACAACGCCGAAG